AUUGAACGCUGGCGGCAGGCUUAACACAUGCAAGUCGAGCGGGGUGAUGGUGCUUGCACUAUCACUUAGCGGCGGACGGGUGAGUAAUGCUUAGGAAUCUGCCUAUUAGUGGGGGACAACAUCUCGAAAGGGAUGCUAAUACCGCAUACGUCCUACGGGAGAAAGCAGGGGAUCACUUGUGACCUUGCGCUAAUAGAUGAGCCUAAGUCGGAUUAGCUAGUUGGUGGGGUAAAGGCCUACCAAGGCGACGAUCUGUAGCGGGUCUGGGAGGAUGAUCCGCCACACUGGGACUGAGACAGGGCCCAGACUCCUACGGGAGGCAGCAGUGGGGAAUAUUGGACAAUGGGGGGAACCCUGAUCCAGCCAUGCCGCGUGUGUGAAGAAGGCCUUAUGGUUGUAAAGCACUUUAAGCGAGGAGGAGGCUCUUUUGGUUAAUACCCAGAAUGAGUGGACGUUACUCGCAGAAUAAGCACCGGCUAACUCUGUGCCAGCCGCCGCCGUAA
rnacentral:rRNA from 1 species